UCCGUUUUGUUCCCGCCACAAAGGACCGUAAAAAUAUCGCGAGAUUUCGUAGAGCACAACCGCGGUUUUAUUUGCUCAAGCUCAGAAAAAUCUGAAAGGGAAAACUGUCCUGCUUUGGAGAAUGGUGGUGGCUCAGAGGGUUACGGCUCCGUGAACAAGAACUGGGAUUCCGGUAACAUCUUUCCGGGGCCUGUCCAAGAUCUGAUACACCAGCACUCAUAAGCUUGCCACAGGGAAUUCAGAGUGACAACGGAUCGGCCUUUAAGGCAGCCGGAACCCAGGGAGUGUCCCAAGCUUUAGGAAUAAAAUAUCAUUUGCACUGUGCUUGGAGACCACACGCAUCAGGAAAAGUGGAAAAAACUGAUGACUUGAUGAAACGUCGCCUACAAAAACUAUCACAGGAAACUCAUCUUCCCUGGUAAUCCCUCCUUCCCUUGGCCUUAAUACGGAUUAGGGAAACUCCUAGGAGUCAGGGGCUUAGUCCAUUUGAAAUAUUAUAUGGACGGCCCUCUCUUAGAAAUGAUCUCCUGCUUGAUCAGCAGACGGCUGAACUUACGAAGUAUAUGAGCAAUCUAGCCGUUGUUCAACAACAACUUUCGAACUUGAAAAACAGUCUAGAUCAGAGGAAAGAAAGUGAGAAACCUCUUUAUCACUCAGGGGAUAUAGUAUUAGUAAGUCCCUCCCCAACAAUUCUCCUUCACUGGAGCCUAUCUGGGAAGGACCCUGCACUGUCAACCUUUCCUCCUCUACCGCUGUUGAGGUUGCAGCACUUUAUGCUUGGAUUCACCACACAGGAACCAAAGCCUGGAACCUGGAGAAAGAAGAUGCCCCACCCUCAACUACCGAGGAAAACUCCCCUGAAUACCAACGCAACCCUCUGGAGGAAAUCAAGGGACCAUUCCAACAAACAAGGGAACAAUCAUAAUGAAACUAGUGGUCAGUGUAAUUGCUUUUCUCUCCUUUGCCAUGGGGGAUUCUUCCACUUCCUUACAGUGGGUACAGGGAAAUGUUUUGUCUCCUGGGCUCACUCCUAUGCCCACUUCCAGAAUCAAUCAGACUGCUGUGUCUGCAGAGCAUUACCUAUGUCGUUUGUAGAAGGAUUCCACAUAGGGAAAUAACUGCUUGCAAGUAUGUGAAUUCCUACAUCAGAAUGUGACUGAUUCCCUACAAGAUCUCUGGCAGCAAAUCCAUAAGUUGUCCUGUCCAACUCCAGCUUUUGGCACUACCCUCCAGAACUGGUUAACAUCCUCUUCCUGGUGGAAAUGUUUGUUUACAACAAUCGCAAUCAUCAUGCGGUCUUUUUUUUUUUUUUUCUUUCUCUUUUUAGGGCUGCAC